rnacentral:ncRNA from 1 species
UGAGCGCGUCGUGACUGGCGUACAGAUGGUCACCAUCGGGAAACGACACACUGCUUGCAAGGGACGGCCGCUCGCCUGGGUCGGAUCC